rnacentral:tRNA from 1 species
UCCGCCUUGGUGUAACCAGGCAGCACGGGUCCCUUUGGUGGAUUCAGGUCCAGGUUCGAAUCCUGGGGGCGGAG